rnacentral:sRNA from 1 species
CUCCUGACCUCAAGCGAACCUUCCACUUUGGCCUCCCAAAGUGCUGGGAUUAUAGGUGCAUGCUGCUGCACCUGGCCCUUCUGAGCAGUGCUUGGAAGCUGCCUCCUGACGGGGGCUGGGGGUCAGAGUGGCCAGCUGAAUGCUGGGCCAUCAGGGUGAGGGGCAUCUUCUCGCCCAUUGCCUGUUCUCCCAGGGCAGAUGGAAGGGGAAGACCCUGCAUUGGGGUGGCAUUAAACAAGAUGAGAUUGUAAGAUCUGCUUUCACUUUAAAGUAACAUUUCUGGUUGUUGCUUGGAAAGAAGUGUCAGGGACAAGAAUGCUGCAGGAGGGCUGGCCUGGAGGACAGGGUGGGACUGUGGGCUUGCUGUGCAGGGGCAGAAGCCUGCGCUUGCGUCAGAGGUGCCUGGGAAACCCUGGCUCUGGGGCAGAGGCCUGAGCAAGGGGGCCUCGCUGGGGUGUCUCUGUCUUAGCCACGCUCGGUGUUUCUGGGUCCUGUGACUCACGUGUGAGCAGCGUAUGGUGCUGGUGGCACAGGGGAGGAAACUGAGGCAGGGAGCCUGUAGGGGCUGCUUGGCAGAGGACAGGCAGCUCCUGUGCCCACUGCUGUCCCACACCUGCGUGGAAACAGAAACCCCGCCACGGAGCCCCCUCCCAUCUCCACAGGCCUCCAGAGCGCCAUGUGCAAGGACUUCAUGGGCGGGGUGGGGUGGGGUCAGGAGCCUGCUGUGGGCUGGCCAGGCCCCGGCCCUCCCUGUCCCACCCUGCGCUGCCUCCACGCACCUCUCAGGGCCGUCAUGGCUUUUCCUGUGGCUUCUGACAGGUAGAGUCAGCGAUGACGGCUUCAUAGCCAUUAAGCUUACGGCACUGGGGAGACCCCAGUUUCUGGUAAGUGCUAGAACUUUCCACCUCUAGAGUCUGGUGCUGUGCGAGAUCUCAGGGCAGCUGUGGGCAUCCACCAAAAGCACAGGUGCCCAUGCCUUAGAGGCCUGAGCUGGCCACAGGGGCUGUGUGGGGGACUGGGCCGGGCAGGGGCGUGUGCGGAUGGCAUUCAGGCCUGCAUUUGCAGCUGCAGUUCUCAGAGGUGCUGGCCAAGUGGAGGUGCUUCUUUCACCAAAUGGCUGUGGAGCAAGGGCAGGCGGGCCUGGCUGCCAUGGACACCAAGCUGGAGGUGGCAGUGCUGCAGGAAAGUGUCGCAAAGAUGGGCAUCGCAUCCAGGGCUGAGAUUGAGGACUGGUUCACAGCGGAGACCCUGGGAGUGUCUGGCACUGUGGACCUGCUGGACUGGAGCAGCCUCAUCCACAGCAGGACCAAGCUCUCCAAGCACCUGGUGGUCCCCAACGCACAGACAGGACAGCUGGAGCCCCUGCUGUCCCGGUUCACUGAGGAGGAGGAGCUACAGAUGACGAGGAUGCUACAGCGGAUGGAUGUCCUGGCCAAGUUGCUCCCACUCCCCCACCCCCUGCGCCUCUCAGAAAGCCACAGAGAUGGGCGUGCGGCUGAUGGUGGAUGCCGAGCAGACCUACUUCCAGCCGGCCAUCAGCCGCCUGACGCUGGAGAUGCAGCGGAAGUUCAAUGUGGAGAAGCCGCUCAUCUUCAACACAUACCAGUGCUACCUCAAGGAUGCCUAUGACAAUGUAACCCUGGAUGUGGAGCUGGCUCGCCGUGAGGGCUGGUGUUUUGGGGCCAAGCUGGUGCGGGGCGCAUACCUGGCCCAGGAGCGAGCCCGUGCGGCAGAGAUCGGCUAUGAGGACCCCAUCAACCCCACGUACGAGGCCACCAAUGCCAUGUACCACAGGUGCCUGGACUACGUGCUGGAGGAGCUGAAGCACAAUGCCAAGGCCAAGAUGAUGGUGGCCUCCCACAACGAGGACACAGUGCGCUUCGCACUGCACAGGAUGGAGGAGCUGGGCCUGCAUCCUGCUGACCACCAGGUGUACUUCGGACAGCUGCUAGGCAUGUGUGACCAGAUCAGCUUCCCGCUGGGUGAGUGGGGCCCUCCCCGGUGCGAUGGGGUACGGUGCUGGGCCUGGGCCUCAUGGCGUAUCUGCCCCCAUGCAGGCCAGGCCGGCUACCCUGUGUACAAGUACGUGCCCUAUGGCCCCGUGAUGGAGGUGCUGCCCUACUUGUCCCGCCGUGCCCUGGAGAACAGCAGCCUCAUGAAGGGCGCCCAUCGGGAACGGCAGCUGAUGUGGGUAGAGCUCCUGCGGCGGCUCCGAACUUGCAGCUUCUUCCAUCGCCCCACCUAGCACCUGCCAGCCCACCCUCAGCCUCCAGACCCACUCCACCCCCCACAGGCCAUCACCACAGCUGCAGCCAACCCCCAGAUUCACCUUUUUUCACCCCAAACUUGCAGAGCUGCUGGAGGUGGGGUCAGGUGCCUCCCAGCCCUGCCAAUGGUGGGGACACUCAGGUGUGGGCCGAACCUGAUACCUGCCUGGGACAGCCGCUGGGAACUGUUGGGAACUCUCCUCGGAUGUGUGGGCCCAAGGCCCCCACCUCUGUGACCCCCAUGUCCUUGGACCUAGAGGAUUGUCCACCUUCUGCCAAGGCCAGCCCACACAGCCCGAGCCCCUCGGGGAGCGGUGGCCGGGCUGGGGAGGCCUGCCUGUCAAUAAACCACUGUUCCUGC